ensembl:lncRNA
CGUCCUUAUGUGCAGCUACCGUUGUUCUCAUAGAUAUGAAUGAGUAGAUAGGACACGCCCCUUUGAGCUGCGUGCUACAACGAGGCUAAGCUAGUGGGGGCAAAGUUUCAGUGCAUUCCGUUGAUGUAGACGGCGUGAAAACGGAAACAAGAAGUAUGCCGUCUCACUGUACUGCAUACAGUUACACACUACGUCGUACGAUUGAGACAAAGAAACUUGGAAUGACUUUUCAUAGGUUUCCCAGAGACUAUGGGUUGAGGAGGAAUUGGAAGUUUGUCGGCUUAGACCUGGUGUCAUUCCAUCAGUGUUAAACUUCCCGGCUCAUCUUGGAAGAGUACGUGCCAGAAAGACCACGACCAAGCAGCCUUGAGAUCUUAGACAGCGUCUCCCUGAGGUCCCUCUCUAUCUCCCCACACAUCCACCAACCACUGGAACACAUCUCCAAAGUUCUGCCGGGCCAGCUCAGCUUCCCCUCAGAAGAAGUGCUGCCACCUGCCAGAUGAAGGAGCCUUUUGAGAGGCAGCUGGCAUCGUGAUUGGACUGUACUUUGGUCUGUUCCAAUCCAGCUUCAGCUCCAGAGACGGCAGGCGGGACGAGUCAACGGAGGCCUGGUGGACGAAGGCAUGCAGCUGAGUACAAUCCAGAAAACAACAGAGGAGGAGUGCAGGGCCAGAACAAGCAGAGUAGCAUCACCAAAGAACUACAGACUCUUCACAACCUGCUCAAACUCUUGGUACAGGACCUCACCACAUGGGUCAAGAAGGUUUCCAUCUCAUUUCUACUCUGAAGCUCACCUUCUCCUGCUCAAACUGCUGACAAAUGUUUCUGCUGCUCUAAAGUC